rnacentral:rRNA from 1 species
GUGCCUACGGGAGGCAGCAGUAGGGAAUCUUCCACAAUGGGCGAAAGCCUGAUGGAGCAACGCCGCGUGGGUGAAGAAGGUCUUCGGAUCGUAAAACCCUGUUGUUAGAGAAGAAAGUGCGUGAGAGUAACCGUUCACGUUUCGACGGUAUCUAACCAGAAAGCCACGGCUCACUACGUGCCAGCAGCCGCGGUAAUACGUAGGUGGCAAGCGUUAUCCGGAUUUUUUGGGCGUAAAGGGAACGCAGGCGGUCUUUUAAGUCUGAUGUGAAAGCCUUCGGCUUACACGGAGUAGUGUGUUGGAAA